GAUGAACGCUGGCGGCGUGCUUAACACAUGCAAGUCGAACGGUGAAAGCGGAGCUUGCUCCGCUGGAUCAGUGGCGAACGGGUGAGUAACACGUGGGCAACCUGCCCCUCACUUCGGGAUAACUCCGGGAAACCGGGGCUAAUACCGGAUAUGACCUCCUUGGGCAUCCUUGGAGGUGGAAAGUUUUUCGGUGAGGGAUGGGCCCGCGGCCUAUCAGCUUGUUGGUGGGGUAGUGGCUCACCAAGGCGAAGACGGGUGGCCGGCCGAGGAGGGUGUCGGGCCACCCGGGGAAUAGGACACGGCCCAGACUCCUACGGGAGGCAGCAGUGGGGCAUAUUGCACAAUGGGCGCAAGCCUGAUGCAGCAACGCCGCGUGAGGGAUGACGGCCUUCGGGUUGUAAACCUCUUUUAGUAGGGAAGAAGCGAAAGUGACGGUACCUGCAGAAAAAGCACCGGCUAACUACGUGCCAGCAGCCGCCGUAA
rnacentral:rRNA from 1 species